GCACAAGCGGUGGAGCAUGUGGUUUAAUUCGAAGCAACGCGAAGAACCUUACCUGGAUUUGACAUCCUCGGACAACCCUAGAGAUAGGGCUUUCGUAGCAAUACGACCGGGAGACAGGUGCUGCAUGGCUGUCGUCAGCUCGUGUGGUGACAUGUUGGGUUAAGUCCCGCAACGAGCGCAACCCUUGUCCUUAGUUGCCAGCAUUCAGUUGGGCUCUCUAAGGAGACUGCCGUGGUGAACACGGAGGAAGGUGGGGAUGACGUCAAGUCCUCAUGGCCUUUAUAUCCAGGGCGACACACGUGAUACAAUGGACGGUACAGAGGGAAGCCAAAGCGCAAGCUGGAGCCAAUCUCAAAAAGCCGUUCUCAGUUCGGAUUGGAGUCUGCAACUCGACUCCAUGAAGUUGGAAUCGCUAGUAAUCGCGGAUCAGCACGCCGCGGUGAAUACGUUCCCGGGC
rnacentral:rRNA from 1 species